rnacentral:rRNA from 1 species
UACGUAGGGGGCAAGCGUUGUCCGGAAUCAUUGGGCGUAAAGCGCGCGUAGGCGGCCCCGUAAGUCCGCUGUGAAAGUCAAAGGCUCAACCUUUGAAAGCCGGUGGAUACUGUGGGGCUAGAGUACGGAAGAGGCGAGUGGAAUUCCUGGUGUAGCGGUGGAAUGCGCAGAUAUCAGGAGGAACACCAAUAGCGAAGGCAGCUCGCUGGACGUUACUGACGCUGAGGCGCGAAAGCGUGGGGAGCGAACAGG